rnacentral:rRNA from 1 species
CUUUGGAAAGAGAGUUAAACAGUACGUGAAAUUGCUGAAAGGGAAACGCUUGAAGUCAGUCGCGUCUUCCGGGACUCAGCCUUGCUUYUGCUUGGUGUACUUUCCGGAUGACGGGUCAGCAUCAAUUUUGACCGUCGGAAAAAGGCUGGAGGAAUGUGGCACCUCCGGGUGUGUUAUAGCCCUUGGUCGUAUACGGCGGUUGGGAUCGAGGAACGCAGCACGCCSCAAGGCCGGGGUUCGUCCACGUUCGCGCUUAGGAUGCUUGGCAUAAUGGCUUUAAAAGACCCGUCUUG